AUAAUGUUUCUUGCUCAAAUGAGUAUUCCAAAGGGGCCCCACUCAUAAAAUAAAUUGAUCAAUUUCAUCCUUUUAUAUAUAUAUAUAUAUAUAUAUAUAUAUGGUAUUAAUUUUGGUGGUUCUGCUUCUGAGAUGCUCAUUUGGGCAAGCAAUGUUAA
rfam:Erythranthe guttata cultivar DTN x IM62 scaffold_8_contig_39, whole genome shotgun sequence.